GGCUCUCUGACAGGUGGGUGGGUCACAUCUGUUUCCUGCUCUCCAGGAGAUAUCUUCCAGAACAUUCUACCCAUGAGUGCUGAAGCUGCUGACCUCUCACAAAUUCAACACCGCAAUGUCUAUUCCAGCCUUCAUGCACUUCCUCUGUGGUUCUCCGCUCACUACUGCUUAGAACAGGUCGAUGCUUAAAAACAAACGGAAAAUGACUAAGCAAUGUCGGGACAGAGCGGCAGCUAACACGGCUUGUGUGAUAAGAAUCAGCAUGGUCUACAACUUUGG